rnacentral:rRNA from 1 species
UACGUAGGUGGCAAGCGUUGUCCGGAUUUAUUGGGUUUAAAGGGUGCGUAGGUGGGCAGGUAAGUCAGUGGUGAAAUCUCCGGGCUUAACUCGGAAACUGCCAUUGAUACUAUCUUUCUUGAAUACCGUGGAGGUCAGCGGAAUAUGUCAUGUAGCGGUGGAAUGCUUAGAUAUGACAUAGAACACCAAUUGCGAAGGCAGCUGGCUACACGAAUAUUGACACUGAUGCACGAAAGCGUGGGGAUCAAACAGG